UUUCACCUAAUCAUAAAUUUAGAAUUUUGUUUAAGUGAUCUAUAAGGUGAUAAGAUGAAUAGUUUAAACUUAACUCAAAGUUUCUCACUCUAAUCAUAAGCAUAAUAUUAAUCAAUUAAGAAUGGAGAGAGUGAGUUUGUCUAUUUGACAAAAGAAGCAAACACAGCUUCAAGAGGUGAAGCUUGGUGCCAGAAUAUUGCCCAUCUUGAAUCCUUUUUGAAGAUAGAGAGAUCUAAAACACAAGACUCAAGAUAAAAAGAUUAGUCCAAUAAUCGU
rnacentral:lncRNA from 1 species